ACGUGGUUACAGGUUGCCGGUACAGAGCUACCGGUUACCGAUUCGAGAAUACAGGACUCCGGUAUAAACUGGUAUAAGCCGGUAUACAUUUGUACAGAAUUUUUAAGUAGGGUGGGGAAAGCCACGCAGUGUCCAAAAGGGAAUCGGGUUAAUAAUCCCGAACCUGGACAUGGAAAUCCGUUCUUCGCGGCCCUGUGCGGUAACGCAAACUAGCUCGGAGACGGUGACGCGAGCCCCGGGAAGAGUUUUAUUUUCUCUGUAAGGAGAUCCAGUCCCUGGAAUGAGUUCGCCCCGAGAUAGGGAUGGUGACUCUGUAGAGCAGUGCGGCUCUUGCGCUGUCCGGUGCACUCGCGUCGGCCCUUGAAAAUCCGAGUGAGGGAGUGUGAUUUUCGUGCCGGACCGUACCCACAUCCGCAGCAGGUCUCCAAGGUGAACAGCAUCU
rnacentral:rRNA from 1 species